rnacentral:rRNA from 1 species
UGAGGGAAUAUUUGGGGUCAAUGGGCGAGAGCCUGAACCAGCCAAGUCGCGUGAGGGAAGAAUGGUCUAUGGCCUGUAAACCUCUUUUGCCAGGGAAGAAUAAAAGGUACGUGUACCUUCUUGCCAGUACCUGACGAAUAAGCAUCGGCUAACUCCGUGCCAGCAGCCGCGGUAAUACGGGGGAUGCGAGCGUUAUCCGGAUUUAUUGGGUUUAAAGGGCGCGUAGGCGGGACGUCAAGUCAGCGGUAAAAGACUGCAGCUAAACUGUAGCACGCCGUUGAAACUGGCGCCCUGGAGACGAGACGAGGGAGGCGGAACAAGUGAAGUAGCGGUGAAAUGCAUAGAUAUCACUUGGAACCCCGAUAGCGAAGG